ACCACCUACGGGACGCAGCAGUGGGGAAUAUUGGGCAAUGGGCGCAAGCCUGACCCAGCAACGCCGCGUGAAGGAAGAAGGCUUUCGGGUUGUAAACUUCUUUUCUCAGGGACGAAGAAAGUGACGGUACCUGAGGAAUAAGCCACGGCUAACUACGUGCCAGCAGCCGCGGUAAUACGUAGGUGGCAAGCGUUAUCCGGAUUUACUGGGUGUAAAGGGCGUGUAUGCGGGAAAGCAAGUCAGAUGUGAAAACCACGGGCUCAACCUCUGCCCUGCAUUUGACACUGUAUUUCUUGAUUACUGGA
rnacentral:rRNA from 1 species